CAACUGUGCCACCGUCCUGUUGACCAGGUCCUGUCUCUGGGAAUCAGAAGUCACUGGAGUGAAGGACCCCCCCAUGCCCUUUUACAUUCAGGAAUUGAGCUGAACUCACUUUGGGGGAGGCCUGGCAAAGGUGACAGGUGUCACAGAUGGAAGGAUAGAGAAUGGAGAGGCAGACACCCUGCUCGGUCCCUCCCUGGGUGGGGUCAGGCAGAUGAAGGCCAGCCAGCCUGCCCCACAAUUGG